UACGUAGGGUGCGAGCGUUGUCCGGAAUUAUUGGGCGUAAAGAGCUUGUAGGCGGUUUGUCGCGUCUGCUGUGAAAAUCCGGGGCUCAACCCCGGACUUGCAGUGGGUACGGGCAGACUAGAGUACGGCAGGGGAGACUGGAAUUCCUGGUGUAGCGGUGAAAUGCGCAGAUAUCAGGAGGAACACCGGUGGCGAAGGCGGGUCUCUGGGCCGUAACUGACGCUGAGGAGCGAAAGCGUGGGGAGCGAACAGG
rnacentral:rRNA from 1 species